rnacentral:rRNA from 1 species
UACGUAGGGCGCAAGCGUUGUCCGGAAUUAUUGGGCGUAAAGAGCUCGUAGGCGGUUUGUCGCGUCUGCUGUGAAAACCUAAGGCUCAACCUUGGGCUUGCAGUGGGUACGGGCAGACUAGAGUGCGGUAGGGGUGACUGGAAUUCCUGGUGUAGCGGUGGAAUGCGCAGAUAUCAGGAGGAACACCGAUGGCGAAGGCAGGUCUCUGGGCGAUUAACUGACGCUGGAGGAG